rnacentral:lncRNA from 1 species
GAGCUUCUUCUUUCAUGCUUUCGAAUAUCAGAGAAAAAAUGAAGACAAAUCUUACCAUUUGAUUUCAUGCUUUCGAUAUAUUAUGCAAAGAGAAAAUCAAGAUUUUGUUUUGUUUUGUUUUACCUGUAAGUAGAUUGUCUGUGUGAUAUGGCUGUCCAAAAUUGGACCUUAAGAGAACAUGACUAUUUCCCUUUAAUAUGUUCGAACUCACUCACACAUAAUUAAACUUUCUAUAAUUCAGAUUGAUUUUUAUCGUUCCACACAUCACCUAGAAAUAAAAUAAAGGACCAUGCAUGGAAAUGGUUAUCGGAA